rnacentral:rRNA from 1 species
UCCGGUGGCGAUGCGUCUGGGGGCCACACCCGUAUCCAUCCCGAACACGAUGGUUAAGCCCCAGACGGCCGAUGGUACUAUGCUGGAGACGGCAUGGGAGAGCAGGUGGCUGCCGGAA